rnacentral:rRNA from 1 species
CCUACGGGUGGCAGCAGUGAGGAAUAUUGGUCAAUGGGCGGAAGCCUGAACCAGCCAAGUAGCGUGCAGGAUGACGGCCCUACGGGUUGUAAACUGCUUUUAUACGGGAAUAACGCGCCUUACGUGUAGGGCUUUGCAUGUACCGUAUGAAUAAGGUCCGGAUAAUUCCGUGCCCGCAGCCGCGGUAAUACGGAAGGUCCGGGCGUUCUCCGGAUUUAUUGGGUUUAAAGGGAACGUAGGCCGCAUGUCAAGCGUGCUGUGAAAUGUCCGGGCUCAACCCGGGCCUUGCAGCGCGAACUGGCGUGCUUGAGUCCGCGGAAAGCAGGCAGAAUUCGUCGUGUAGCGGUGAAAUGCUUAGAUAUGACGAAGAAUCCCGAUUGCGAAGGCAGCUUGCUGCAGCGGAACUGACGCUGAUGCUCGAAAGCGCGGGUAUCGAACAGGAUUAGAUACCCGGGUAGUC